UGGGGAAUAUUGCACAAUGGGCGCAAGCCUGAUGCAGCCAUGCCGCGUGUGUGAAGAAGGCCUUCGGGUUGUAAAGCACUUUCAGCGAGGAGGAAGGGUUCAGUGUUAAUAGCACUGUUCAUUGACGUUACUCGCAGAAGAAGCACCGGCUAACUCCGUGCCAGCAGCCGCGGUAAUACGGAGGGUGCAAGCGUUAAUCGGAAUUACUGGGCGUAAAGCGCACGCAGGCGGUUUGUUAAGUCAGAUGUGAAAUCCCCGCGCUUAACGUGGAACUGCAUU
rnacentral:rRNA from 1 species